UUGUGUGUGAGGAGUAAGAUUAAUAAGGAAGCAGCCGGAGGGUCGAAACAUGGCAAGACUCCUUGCGGACUUCCUUA
rnacentral:sRNA from 19 species